GUCUAAUGCUAAUGCUAAUGCAUCAUUGUAACAUAGGUCCAAAAUAAAAAUGAAGCUGUUUGAUAAAAAAAAAAACUUCUAAUGAACUUUAGUUAAUAGUAAAAUAAUACUAAGCUCAUCUGUAGGUGUAACUAGUUUAUCAAAUUCAUUUUUAUUGAAUGCUUUCCCAUGAAAGAACCGAUUCUUUUUCGAGUUUUCUUUCUUUCUUCUCCCUUUUCCUUCUGGUUUCUCCCUCUGCCAUGAGCGACUAAUAAGACGUUCAUAGGCUCUGAUGGUAGGGAAGCACUUAAAUCUCUAGUUCUUUUGCUCAACAGGGUCAUAUUUUAUUAGGGUUAGAUCUAAUUUUAUAUUUGAAGCUUGGUAGUGGUGGUGGCAGUCGAGAAAUUGUUCAGAAGCUUUGCAAAAUCUACACGGUUGCGUUUGAUUUUCAAUCUACUAUGUCAGGUUAUGCUUUCUUUUACCUGAAAUCUCUACAACAUUUUCUCACCAAAUUUCUUUCCUUACCAUUCUAAACUUUGAAGUAGCUUUUCAGCUGAGCCCUAGUAUCACCAUGAAAGUUGUUUGGCAUGGUGAUGUCUCACAGUCAACAAAACUUUUACAAGCCUCCCUGAGUCUGAGUAAUGGUAGGCAGUUUGCUUUAUAAGAAGUCAUUCCACCUAGGUUCAUGAACAAUGAACAACUGUGGACAAGCUGUCUGUUAGGGGUCUUUGUUGAACCAGUUGCUAGAAACAUCUGGGACGUUAGAAAUUCCCUUCUUUUUCAGUGGAAGAUUCAUGGAGGACUAUCAUUUAAACCAGUCAAUGACUGUAUGUUUCUGGAGAGAUUUGAAAGAGAAGAAGAAAUACAUAGAGUUAUAGAUGUGUCUACAAGAGUAGUCUAUGGUGAUUUAUUCUGCAUCAAAAAAUGGGAUAAAGCUGAGAGAAUUGUUGAUUGGGUUCCUACUGAAGAGAAGUUAUUUACCACAGUGCACAAUCUAACACUUGCUCAGGUGAAUAGUGACAACUUAAGAAGGUACAUAUCUUGCAUGGGAGAAAUCCUUUCCUUUUCUUAUCCUGUGAGAAAAGCAAAUGGGAGCUACUCUAUCACUAGUAGAGCCAACCUAAGAUUCAUACAAAGACUCAUUUUUAGUGUUUAUGCUGAAAAUGAGAUGGGAUACACUGAUGAAUUAACCUUUCAAUUCCAUCACUUUCCAAACAACUACUGUGGAUUCUGCAAGGUGAUUGGGCAUAAGUUGGAAAACUGCCAGCAGUUUGUGGUGUAUUAGCAGCAGAUUGAAGAGCAACAAGCUGAAACAGAUGUUGUAACGUCAGCUAUGCAAAAUAUUGAUGAACAUCAAAUGGAGAUUGAGAAUUUGCAAUAGCUAGCACAACAGAACAUGCAAUAUGAUAUGGAAGGUUUUGAUGAGGAUAGCUUAGCCAGUUCUGAUGCAGAGAAAGCAGCUUCUGUGAUUUCUUGCUCUGAUUACCUCAAGCAGUUUCAAGUGGAUCAUGAUAGUCAAGGAAGUUUUGUGGAGCCUCAACAAAAAAAAUGGUAAUAGGGAACAGACUAAUGAUUGUUCUCUAAAUGCAGCAGCUGGACCCUCUCAUGUUGAUAUUCAUAUUGCAGCAACACUUCCAUACCCAUAUGCUAACAGUGCCAACAAAGAUUCCUACAUGUGGAAGGUAUUCAAUAAAAGGGACAGACCUGGUAAUUGGAGUGUUUCUAUCUCAGCACAACAACCUCCCAAUAUGGAUUCAGCAUACAUCAGUAACUGUAAGCAAUGCAAUCUUUCUUCCAUUGGGAUGUGCCACUACCAGCUUCAAAGAAACUAAAGAUUUCUGAGAUAGAUUUAAGCUUCCAGCCACCACAAGUAUCUGAGAUUCCAAGAGACAUUCAUGUGAUUGAGGAUAAACAAGUGAACACUAGCAUCAGAUCACAUCCCCAUCAGUGGUUCAGUGGUGAAGGCUCUUAUGCAUCUCAGGCCAAUUUGGACCCUAAAGCAAAGGGAAAGGGAGUUGCAAAAAUGGGCUGAUGAUUCUAUGACCCUAAUGAAUAACAGAAGACUAUGAGUACCACAGUGUAGACUUACUCAUCAGAGCAUAUGGCUCUUUUUCUUGAUAGUUUUUUGGUUUUCAGUUUGCUUUUUAUGUUAGUAUCCGUUAUCUUUCUGUGCAGUUAUCCUGUUGUAAUUUGUUCUUUGUGUUCUUGUUAGUGUAAUAGUUGUGUCAUGUAUAAUAAUCUGUGUCCUGAUUUGUGUCCUGUAAAUCUUAAGCUCUUCUGUAGCUAUCUGCUUUAUUUCCAUUUUUGCUUAG